UACAGAGGUCUCAAGCGUUGUUCGGAUUCAUUGGGCGUAAAGGGCGCGUAGGCGGUCGAUCAAGUCAGGGGUGAAAUCCUGCAGCUUAACUGUAGAAGUGCCUUUGAUACUGGUCGUCUCGAGGGAGGUAGGGGUGUGUGGAACUUCCAGUGGAGCGGUGAAAUGCGUUGAUAUUGGAAGGAACGCCGGAGGCGAAAGCGACGCACUGGACCUUUUCUAACGCUGAGGCGCGAAAGCUAGGGGAGCAAACGGG
rnacentral:rRNA from 1 species